CUGGGCCUGUUUGGUACAGCUCACAACAACUUCAUAAGCUGUUGUGAGCUGUUUUUUUUGUCAAACACUUAUUUUCAAAACAGCUUUAUGGGUGAAGUUGUUUUUCUCCUCCUCUCACAAAGACAUAAGUUGGAUGAAGCUGGAAAAAAGCAACUUAUUGCAGCUUCUCCCUCAUUUCUCUCUCUCAACUAUGCAUGAAGUAGUUUGUGAAGCUAUUUUGCCAAACACCUUUUUUAAAACAGCUUAGCUUCAUCUAGAAAGUCACUCAUAAAGCUAUUUUCUAAAAAAACAGCUUUACUAGUGAAGUUGAGCUGUGACAAACAAGCCUAUGUCACGAGUCCACUACUCCUAACCGAACUCCUGGACUAUCUUGACUAGAAAAACCUGAAUACUCUCGCCAAACUCCUAACCGAACUCCUGGACUAUCUUGACUAGAAAAACCUGAAUACUCUCGCCAAAAAAAAUAAAAAUAAAAAAUCUGAACACCUGAUGACCCGCAGCCCGCGGACAGGGACAGCCUUCAAGGCCACGAGCAACUUGGAAAUCACACACCGCGGACAGGAACCCUGCCCAACCCACUUUGACGUGAGUGAUCCCCGUACCGUCCAGCCCACUUCGGCUUCAGCUCACCCGCAGGCCGGCCCGUCACUUGCAGCAUAAAAUAAAAUAAAAACUGAAGGCAACCACAUUUGCAUUGAACAUUUUGACACGUGCUUGACCUAGGAGUGAUGAAAUUUAGGUUUAUAUAUAAUAUAAAUACGUCUAUCUUAUAUUCGUAGAUGUGAUUUCUUAGGUGGUUUUAUCCUUCUUUAAGAUAAGAUAAUAUCUUUCUUCCUCUCGCGCCAUCCACUACCGCACU
rnacentral:lncRNA from 1 species